rnacentral:rRNA from 1 species
GAGGAAACUUGUGCUAAUACCGGAUAAGUCCUCACGGAGAAAGAUUUAUCGCCGAAAGAUGAGCCCGCACUAGAUUAGCUUGUUGGUAAGGUAAAAGCUUACCAAGGCUACGAUCUAUAGCUGAUUUGAGAGGAUGAUCAGCCACACUGGGACUGAGACACGGCCCAGACUCCUACGGGAGGCAGCAGUGGGGAAUCUUGCACAAUGGAGGAAACUCUGAUGCAGCGAUGCCGCGUGAGUGAAGAAGGCCCUUGGGUUGUAAAGCUCUUUUGUCGGGAAAGAUAAUGACUGUACCCGAAGAAUAAGGUCCGGCUAACUUCGUGCCAGCAGCCGCGGUAAUACGAAGGGACCUAGCGUAAUUCGGAAUUACUGGGCGUAAAGCGCGCGUAGGCGGUUAAGUAAGUUAAUUGUGAAAGCCCAGAGCUUAACUCUGGAACUGCCAUCAAAACUUUUCAGCUAGAGUAUGAUAGAGGAAAGCAGAAUUUCUAGUGUAGAGGUGAAAUUCGUAGAUAUUAGAAAGAAUACCAAUUGCGAAGGCAGC